rnacentral:rRNA from 3 species
GGGUUUGAUCCUGGCCCAGGAUGAACGCUGGCGGCGUGCUUUAAGCAUGCAAGUGGAACGAAAACCCGAGCUUGCUCGGGUGGAAGUCGCGAACGGCUGAGUAACACGUAGGAAUCUACCCCUUGGCGGAGAAUACCUCACUGAAAGGUGAGUUAAUACUGCAUAACCCUGAAGUAUGCGCAAGCUUAACUUCAGGGAAAGGGCGUAACUGCCCACCGAGGGAGGAGCCUGCGGCCCAUCAGCUUGUUGGUAGGGUAAUGGCCUACCAAGGCAACGACGGGUAGGGGACGUGAGAGCGUGAUCCCCCAGAAUGGUACUGAGAACGGACCAUACACCUACGGGUGGCAGCAACUGGGAAUCGUGCGCAAUGGACGAAAGUCUGACGCCGCGACGCCGCGUGAAGGAUGAAGGCCUAUGGGUUGUAAACUUCUUUUGCCAAGAUCGAGAGGUCUUGGAGAAUAAGCACCGGCUAACUACGUGCCAGCAGCAGCGGUAAUACGUAGGGUGCAAGCGUUAUCCGGAUUUAUUGGGCGUAAAGGGUCCGCAGGCUUUCCAGCAAGUCAAUCUUCAAAGACCGGGGCUCAACCUCGGGAAGGGGAGUGAUACUGCUGGAAUUGGAGAACUUAGGGGCUACUGGAACUAUUCAUGUAGGGGUGAAAUCCGUUGAUAUGAAUAGGAACUCCGAGGGCGAAGGCAGGUAGCUGGGAGUUUCUCGACGCUCAGGGACGAAAGCUAGGGUAGCGAAAGGGAUUAACAUACUAGUCCCCUCCGAUAGUAAUAUCGGAGAAAAAAUCGGCUAUAUCGGUGAAACUCCUUGUAAUCUUCGGAUUAUUUUUGGUAACAUGGAUUAUGAGGACAACCCCGAGGGAAGUCUUUAUUUCGCUUAAAGCAAACUUUAACCUAAACAAUGUCCAGCAGGCAGUUUUGAUCGGAACUCUUUUGGGUGAUGGAACUAUUCAAAUGAGAAAGAAAGAUGCGAGGCUUCAUAUAAAGCACUCGCUAAAUCAGAUUUCUUUAGUUGAAUACAAAAGAAAAGUUUUUGCGAAUAUAACAAAUAUGAAUGUAAGGGUAUUCAAACAAAAAGUAGGCGGAGUCGACUACAACUUUGCCGAAUUUGUUACUCUUACUCAUUCUGAGUUUACUCGCUUUUAUAAGCUUUUCUACAAAGAGCACAAAAAAGUUGUUCCUACAGAUUUAGGGCAAUUAUUAAAAAGCCCUAUGAGUGUGGCUGUUUGGAUAAUGGAUGAUGGAUCUUCUGAGUAUGCUGGUGUGUCUAUACAAACACACUCAUUCACAGAAGAAGAAGUUAAAAAUCUUAUUAAGGUUAUUGAAAAUAAUUUUAAUUUAAAAGCUUUAAU